rnacentral:rRNA from 1 species
AUUGAACGCUGGCGGCAUGCUUUACACAUGCAAGUCGAACGGUAACAGGCCGCAAGGUGCUGACGAGUGGCGAACGGGUGAGUAAUGCAUCGGAACGUGCCCAGUCGUGGGGGAUAACUAUCCGAAAGGAUAGCUAAUACCGCAUACGAUCUGCGGAUGAAAGCGGGGGACCUUCGGGCCUCGCGCGAUUGGAGCGGCCAAUGUCAGAUUAGGUAGUUGGUGGGGUAAAGGCUCACCAAGCCAACGAUCUGUAGCUGGUCUGAGAGGACGACCAGCCACACUGGGACUGAGACACGGCCCAGACUCCUACGGGAGGCAGCAGUGGGGAAUUUUGGACAAUGGGCGCAAGCCUGAUCCAGCAAUGCCGCGUGCAGGAAGAAGGCCUUCGGGUUGUAAACUGCUUUUGUACGGAACGAAACGGCUCUGGUUAAUACCUGGGGCUAAUGACGGUACCGUAAGAAUAAGCACCGGCUAACUACGUGCCAGCAGCCGCCGCGG